rnacentral:rRNA from 1 species
GCCCAGACUCCUACGGGAGGCAGCAGUGGGGAAUAUUGGGCAAUGGGCGAAAGCCUGACCCAGCAAUGCCGCGUGAAUGAAGAAGGUCUUAGGAUUGUAAAAUUCUGUCCUAUGGGAAGAAACAAAUGACGGUACCAUAGGAGGAAGCCCCGGCUAACUACGUGCCAGCAGCCGCGGUAAUACGUAGGGGGCAAGCGUUAUCCGGAUUUACUGGGUGUAAAGGGAGCGUAGACGGCAGCGCAAGUCUGGAGUGAAAUGCCGGGGCUCAACCCCGGAACUGCUUUGGAAACUGUGCAGCUAGAGUGCGGGAGAGGUAAGCGGAAUUCCUAGUGUAGCGGUGAAAUGCGUAGAUAUUAGGAGGAACACCAGUGGCGAAGGCGGCUUACUGGACCGUAACUGACGUUGAGGCUCGAAAGCGUGGGGAGCAAACAGGAUUAGAUACCCCAGUAG